GCACUGAUAUCAAAUAAAGAUGGCUGUUGUGUCACUGCUGGCGGUAACACACUGAAUACACAUGAACUGUGCACCAAUUCCACUAUUUUUGCCUCACAUGACACCUCAGCGUGAACUCUUGCUCAUUGACAGCAGGAUCAGUCCUCAAACAACUCAGCGACGUGCAAGGCCUCCAGCUCGCCGCCGCAGAUCUUUGUUCUGCUUCAGUAUCAGACCCUGACUCACCGGAUCAAGGCAACGCUCCUCCGGGCAGAUAACCUCGACACGCUCGCGGGCACUUCAGCACCAGCAGAAUUCCAGGUGCUGGUCGCUCUGCAUCAUGAAGGGGCUGUGAUUAGCAGCAGAGAAACCAAAGGAGCCUCCUGGAAUUCUUCUUUCGUGUUCGACCUCCCUCCAGGAGACAUCAGUAAACUGCCCCUCAUGCUGGAGUUUGUAAUCGUGCAGCAUCAGGCACCUGCCCAACGUAAAGUCCUCGGUCGGGUCCAAAUCGGAGCAGGGGCAGCGGACGCCGGGCGAGCUCACUGGAGGGACGUUUGCAUCCUGCAUGUGGAGCAACCACGCUGGCACGUUGUCCAGCCAGAAGUUUUAUAGAAUUCUGUUUGAUGGGAUAACAUUUGUCACGUGAUCUCAAGAACCAUCCAAAACAAGCGUUCCAGCAUCGGCUAAUUGUUUAUGGGUGAAGAUUUUGCUGUGGAUGAUGGAGGAUCAGAUCUUUACAAUCAUCUUGGUGACAUCAUAUAGCUGCUGCUGCUGCUGGAUGCUGGAGCAGUCCUGCCUCUGGCAUCUUGUAAAUAUAAUAUGAACCAUAUGAUGUCAUAUAGAUUUAAUAAAACAUGUUUCUGCCUCGUAAUUUGGUGAUUUUUUUGUGGUACCUCAUAAAUUAAGGUAGGGGAUUUCACCCCAAUAUUUUCAAACGUGACAGUUUGUUUGUUGUCCUCAGGUCCUCUUCUUCACGCUCCUCAGAGCUACAAACAUGCACAAGCUCAGCCCGGAAUAAUCCAUCUGGAAAGUGGGAGGGGGUGUCUUUCUGCUGCGGGUCAGGUUGAUCUGAACAGCUAGGAGGGUUUGGAACGUUGUUACACUCAUCUGGUUGAUCUUCUGUCACUGAGGGACAAUCCUGGAUUGGCUGAAUAAUUCUUAAUCUGUCUGAAAACAGGAAAUAAUGACACAUUUUAAAAUGCCAGACAUUUCGAGUUUUCACACCAAUGUAGGACCAUGUGGAAAUAAAAGCGCUCAGCUACCUAUAAAUACAGUACUUGCUUGUUGUGUCCUUAAAAUGAUAUGGAAAAUAUAGGGAUCAAUCAAGUCCCAGUAUAAACAGAUCACAGUUGAUCACGGCAUAUAUCCACUAACCAUUUUCGCAUGGUUCAGUCCCAUUUGUUGCCUUCAGGCCACACGUUUCUGCAGACAUGGCUGGCAUCUGUCAGAGAAAAGCAUGGAUUUCUAGCCCUUGUUCCUAACAAUGUCUAUUGCAUCGCUACAGAAUAUUUCUCCCGCUUCAUUAAAUCGCAGGAUUAGUCGAGUCAGCUCCUCUCUAAUGGUGCAGUCAGAUGUUUUCCAGUCGAGCGGUUC
ensembl:lncRNA